CCUACGGGAGGCAGCAGUGAGGAAUAUUGGUCAAUGGACGCAAGUCUGAACCAGCCAUGCCGCGUGCGGGAAGACGGCUCUAUGAGUUGUAAACUGCUUUUAUAAGGGGGUAAAUUGUGAGACGUGUAUCGGUUUGUAAGUAUCUUACGAAUAAGGAUCGGCUAACUCCGUGCCAGCAGCCGCGGUAAUACGGAGGAUUCAAGCGUUAUCCGGAUUUAUUGGGGUUAAAGGGUGCGUAGGCGGCUCGAUAAGUUAGAGGUGAAAUCCCGGGGCUCAACUCCGGCACUGCCUCUGAUACUGUGGGGCUAGAGUUUAGUUGCGGUAGGCGGAAUGUAUGGUGGAGCGGUGAAAUGCAUAGAGAGCAUACAGAACACCGAUUGCGAAGGCAGCUUACCAAACUACGACUGACGUUGAGGCACGAAAGCGUGGGGAGCAAACAGGAUUAGAUACCCCGGUAGUC
rnacentral:rRNA from 1 species